rnacentral:rRNA from 1 species
GACAGAGGCCUCGAGCGUUAGGCGGAAUCACUGGGCUUAAAGCGUGUGUAGGCGGAUCGUUAAGUGCCUUGUGAAAUCCCACGGCUUAACUGUGGAACGGCUGGGCAUACUGGCGGUCUUGAGCCAUCUAGGGGCGACUGGAACAAACGGUGGAGCGGUGAAAUGCGUAGAUAUCGUUUGGAACGCCAAUGGUGAAAACAGGUCGCUGGGGAUGAGCUGACGCUGAGACACGAAAGCGUGGGUAGCAAACAGG